rnacentral:tRNA from 1 species
UCCUCUGUAGCUCAGUUGGUUAGAGCGCUGCACCGGAAUCGCAGGGCCGUAUAGGUUCAAUUCCUACCAGAGGAC